GAUGAACGCUGGCGGCGUGCUUAACACAUGCAAGUCGAACGAAGCAUUUAGAACAGAUUAUUUCGGUAUGAAGUUCUUUAUGACUGAGUGGCGGACGGGUGAGUAACGCGUGGGUAACCUGCCUUGUACUGGGGGAUAGCAGCUGGAAACGGCUGGUAAUACCGCAUAAGCGCACAAUGUUGCAUGACAUGGUGUGAAAAACUCCGGUGGUAUAAGAUGGACCCGCGUCUGAUUAGCUAGUUGGUGAGAUAACAGCCCACCAAGGCGACGAUCAGUAGCCGACCUGAGAGGGUGACCGGCCACAUUGGGACUGAGACACGGCCCAGACUCCUACGGGAGGCAGCAGUGGGGAAUAUUGCACAAUGGAGGAAACUCUGAUGCAGCGACGCCGCGUGAGUGAAGAAGUAAUUCGUUAUGUAAAGCUCUAUCAGCAGGGAAGAUAGUGACGG
rnacentral:rRNA from 1 species